GGAUGCGAGGGUGAUCUGGCUGCGACAUCUGUCACCCCAUUGAUCGCUAGGGUUGAUUCAGCUGAUCUGGCUGGCUAGGCUGGUAUCCCCUUCCUCCCUCGCCGCUCCAUGUGCGUGCCUCCCAAAGCUGCUCACUCUGUCUGUCGAAGAGGAUGACCUUCCCUGCUAGAGGAGGACUGGUCUUUGGUCAAGGGUAUAGGAGUAGCUGUGCUCUCCUGCUAGAACCUCCAAAUAAGCUCUUAAGUACCUGUACUGCACUUGAAUCCAUAGUAUAUUGUUAAUAUCCUAUAUAUUUAUAUAUAUAUAGUAUAUUGUUAAU
rnacentral:snRNA from 1 species